UAGGGAAUCUUCGGCAAUGGGGGGAACCCUGACCGAGCAACGCCGCGUGAGUGAAGAAGGUUUUCGGAUCGUAAAGCUCUGUUGUUAAGGAAGCACGAGUGUGAGAAUGGAAAGUUCAUACUGUGACGGUACUUAACCAGAAAGGGACGGCUAACUACGUGCCAGCAGCCGCGGUAAUACGUAGGUCCCGAGCGUUGUCCGGAUUUAUUGGGCGUAAAGCGAGCGCAGGCGGUUAGAUAAGUCUGAAGUUAAAGGCCGUGGCUCAACCAUUGUAGGCUUUGGAAACUGUUUAGCUUGAGUGCAGAAGGGGAGAGUGGAAUUCCAGGUGUGACGGUGAAAGGCGUAGAUAUGAGGAGGAACACCGGUGGAGAAAGCGGCUCUGUGGUCAGUAAAUGACGCUGAGGCUCGAAAGCGUGGGGAGCGAACAGG
rnacentral:rRNA from 1 species